rnacentral:lncRNA from 1 species
UUUAGACGGAGUCUGGCUCUGUCGCCCAGGCUGGAGUGCAAUGGCGCGAUCUCGGCUCACUGCAAGCUCCGCCUCCCGGGUUCAUGCCAUUCUCCUUCCUCAGCCUCCCGAGUAGCUGGGAUUACAGGCGCCUGCCACCAUGCCCAGCUAAUUUUUGUAUUUUUAGUAGAGACGGGGUUUCACCAUGUUGGCCAGGCUGGUCUCAAACUCCUGACCUCAGGUGAUCUGCCUGCCCUCGGACUCCCAAAGUGCUGGGAUUACAGGCGUGAGCCACCGAGCCUGGCCUAAAACUUCUUUCAAUGGCACUGACCUUUCUGUGUUGUCACUCAGUCAUAAUAAAAUCCCAGGUACAAUCAGAAUGCUGCAUUCUCCAGCCAUAAAGAUCGCUCCCUCUUUUCAAACAUCCCUGUCCCUCAAGGCCUAGCUCAAGACGGUCACCUUAAGAAAAGCUCCCUUUGUCGAGCAGUGACUCCAUACCAGGCCCUGCUUUAAACGCUUUAUCUGCAUUAUCUUACUUGAUUCUCGCAAUAGCCCUGGGUGGUAGGUGCAAUUAUUAUCUCCAGUUUAUAAAAGAAGAUACUGAGGGUCAGAGAAGUUAAGUGACUGGCUCAAGGUGUCACAUUCAGUAAGCGUUGAAGGGGUCUGUGUUGGUCUGUCCUUGAAGAUGCCCCCUACGACUACACUUUCAAUGAUUUCUGCCUUGAACCUGGCCCCAUGACUAAAAACCUCACGUCAAACUCAGGCAGCAAUAACGGGAAGGCUUGGUGCCUCCCAUCACUGGAGCAACUAGUCUAGCUGGUCACUAAGUGGACAGCCCCUCUGUUUCCCUGCAGUAACUAAUUAGCAGAAUAGCACAAAGAUAAAACCCGAAGGCCUUUGUGCAGAAGUUUCAGAGACAUAAGCAAAGUGAGAGCAUUAGGUUCUGCAUAUCUUUCUUGUUGUUGUUGUUGAGACAGAGUCUCGCUCUGUUGCCCAGGCUGGAGUGCAGUGGCACGAUCUUGGCUCACUGCAACCUCCGCCUCCCGGCUUCAAGUGAUUAUUCUGCCUCAGCUUCCCAAGUAACUGGGACUACAGGCGUGCGCCACCACUCCUGGCUAAUUUUUGUAUUUUUAGUAGAGACAGGGUUUCACCAUAUAGGCCAGGCUGGUCUCAAAGUCCUCAACUCGUGAUCCACCCGCCUUAGCCUCACAAAGUGCUGGGAUUACAGGUGUGAGCCACUGCACCCAGUCACAUGUCGUAUUUUAAAAGGGAUUUAAAAGUAUCAUUGGAUUGUUUGUAACACGAAGGAUAAAUGCUUGAGGGGAUGGAUACCCAUUCUCCAGCAUGUCAUGAUUACACAUUGCAUGCCUGUAUCAAAACACCUCAUGUACCCCAUAAAUAUAUACACCUACUAUGUACCACAAAAAUUAAAAUAAAUGGUGGGUGAGAAGAAA